CAACUUACCUAUCAGAGCAGGAUAGCCCGGCGAAAGUCGGAUUAAUACUGCAUAAAACAGGGGUCCCGCCUGGGACUAUUUGUUAAAGAUUUAUCGCUGAUAGAUAGGCAUGCGUUCCAUUAGGCAGUUGGCGGGGUAACGGCCCACCAAACCGACGAUGGAUAGGGGUUCUGAGAGGAAGGUCCCCCACAUUGGUACUGAGACACGGACCAAACUCCUACGGGAGGCAGCAGUGAGGAAUAUUGGUCAGUGGACGAGAGUCUGAACCAGCCAAGUCGCGUGAAGGAUGAAGGUUCUAUGGAUUGUAAACUUCUUUUAUUCGGGAAUAAAGUGCACCACGUGUGGUGUUUUGUAUGUACCGAAUGAAUAAGCAUCGGCUAACUCCGUGCCAGCAGCCGCGGUAAUACGGAGGAUGCGAGCGUUAUCCGGAUUUAUUGGGUUUAAAGGGUGCGUAGGUGGCCUUGUAAGUCAGUGGUGAAAGUUUGUCGCUCAACGAUAAAAUUGCCAUUGAAACUGUGAGGCUAGAGUAUGUUUGAGGUAGGCGGAAUGCGUGGUGUAGCGGUGAAAUGCAUAGAUAUCACGAAGAACUCCGAUUG
rnacentral:rRNA from 1 species